GGAAAUGUAGCUCAGUGGUAGAGGAUUUACCCAGCAUGUAUAAGACCCUGGGUUCAAUCCCCAGUACUGCCA
rfam:Ictidomys tridecemlineatus contig058535, whole genome shotgun sequence.